ACGAGUACAUGUGAUUGGUGUAGUAAUACUUCCUCUCGUGUACUUGUGCUACAUCUACUACAGGCUGUGUGUGUGUGUGUGUGUGUGUGUGUGUGUGUGUGUGUGUGAGGGUUUUUUUUUUUGUGAUUUUAAAAUGGAGGACGGGAGCUUUGGUGUGAGACAGACAGGUAUGUGUCUCCGUGUUUGUCCUCCGCUACAUAAAUGUGCUGCAGAGCAGUCGGGCUCUGCAGCACAUUGGUGGGGGAGGUGCUCCAUUCAAAACUCCGUCUGUCCUCUCGCAUAUUUACAUUUCUAGGGAACCUGUUGGCUUCCACGGCCGCUCCCACAUGGCCCACGUGUGUCCAACAGGUCACGUUUAACAAAUACCAUCGUUUCCUGUUGACCAGCUAAUAACACGGUGUUGGCCUCACAAGGGCCUGUAUAGUGUCUCUCGUGCUUGUUUCACCUGCAUCCGUGAGAGAAAAUGGAGUUCCUUUUGCAAAUGAAAUCUGAUCAUUGUUUAAAUGAAAAAAAAAAAAGAAACGCUGCACACGAUU